rnacentral:rRNA from 1 species
AUUGAACGCUGGCGGCAGGCCUAACACAUGCAAGUCGAGCGAGCGGGGGACGGGGGAGAAAUGUAUGGGGACUGCCCGAUAGAGGGGGGUAACUACUGGAAACGGUGGCUAAUACCGCAUACUGUCGUAUAACCCAUAUGGGAUUAGCUAUUGGGUACGGUAAUGGCUUACCUAGGCGACGAUCUCUAGCUGGUCUGAGAGGAUGAUCAGCCACACUGUGACUGAAACACGGCCCAGACUCCGACGGAGGCAGCAGUGGGGAAUAUUGCACAAUGGGCGCAAGCCUGAUGCAGCCAUGCCGCGUGUAUGAAGAAGGCCCUAGGGUUGUAAAGUACUUUCAGUCGGGAGGCGUUACCGACAGAAGAAGCACCGGCUAACUCCGUGCCAGCAGCCGCGGUAAUAC